rnacentral:rRNA from 1 species
CCUACGGGUGGCAGCAGUGAGGAAUAUUGGUCAAUGGGCGCGAGCCUGAACCAGCCAAGUAGCGUGAAUGAUGACUGCCCUACGUGUUGUAAACUUCUUUUAUAAAGGAGUAAAGUGAGCCACGUCUGCCUGUUUGUAUGUACUUUAUGUACGAGGCUCGGCUAACUCCGUGCCAGCAGCCGCGGUAAUACGGAGGAUCCGAGCGUUAUCCGGCUUGAUUGGGUUUAAAGGGAGCGUAGAUGGGUUGUUAAGUCAGUUGUGAAAGUUUGCGGCUCAACCGCAGAAUUGCAAUUGAUACUGGCAGACUUGAGUACAGGUGAGGUAGGUGGAAUUCGUGGUGUAGCGGUGAAAUGCGUAGAUAUCAGGAGGAACACCGAUUGCGAAGGCAGCUUACUAGACUGCCACUGACAUUGAUGCUCGAAAGUGUGGGUAGCAAACAGGAUUAGAUACCCCAGUAGUC